AUAAAGACAUUAAAUCCAUCAUUCGUAGACAUCAUUAGCAUUAAUAAAUAUAAAAUUAAAAAUAACUAGGCAGAUAUCAGAUCUCAUUUCAUUGCCUUUAAGUAACAGUUAAUAAUGUCCGUUUAUUUUACAUAACGGCUGUUACUAGCCUGCAAUUUAAUUGCCCUAUCAUAAUAUUACCCUUAGAAACCUUUAUUUAACAGCUAUGAUUUAAAACCAUGAUAGUUGUACUUUGUUUUUGUAUGCCUUUCCUUAUAUAGGAUGGCUUUUCUCAUAUUUUCUUAACAAAAUUUCAUCUUUCAUAAAAGGGAGAGAGAGAGAGGAAGAGAG
rnacentral:misc_RNA from 1 species